rnacentral:rRNA from 1 species
ACGUAGGGGGCAAGCGUUGUCCGGAAUCAUUGGGCGUAAAGCGCGUGUAGGUGGCUUGGUAAGUCCGGUGUGAAACCUUGGGGCUCAACCCCAAGCCUGCAUCGGAUACUGCCUCGCUCGAGUUCGGGAGGGGAGAGCGGAAUUCCUAGUGUAGCGGUGAAAUGCGCAGAUAUUAGGAAGAACACCGGUGGCGAAGGCGGCUCUCUGGAACGAUACUGACACUGAGACGCGAAAGCGUGGGUAGCGAACAGGAUUAGAUACCCUGGUAGUCCACGCCGUAAACGAUGGGCACUAGAUGUGGGCGGUGUCGACUCCGCCCGUGUCGCAGCUAACGCAUUAAGUGCCCCGCCUGGGGAGUACGGCCGCAAGGCUA